CCUUCGGGUUGUAAACCUCUUUCAGCAGGGAAGAAGCAGCCAGGUUUUCUUGGUUGUGACGGUACCUGCAGAAGAAGCACCGGCUAACUACGUGC
rnacentral:rRNA from 1 species